rnacentral:lncRNA from 1 species
CUACUUUUAAAAAAUACUUAAUUUUACUAAUUUCCUAACUAGAACAUAAGUGCAUUUUUGUUUUGUUUUUGUUUUUGCAAUAAUUGCUCUGAAGAUAAAACCAAAGCACCAUUUCGAUGUAGCAAAGGUAAUUGGUGCAUUUACUGCUCAUGGCAUGUUAAUGUAUGACUAUGUAUCAAAGGUCAUCCUUCUGUACUCAUACAUUAUCAAAUUUGAAAGCACAAUAUUUGAUUCUGAACAUCCUUUAAACUGCCCAAAAUGUGUGUGAAAAAUAGAUAAGAGUUCUACUUUGGGUUGAAAAAAAAGUGAACCCAUGUUUUGGAAGCAGAAGGGUCAAGACGCCAGUGGCAAGGUUAGAUGUCAGCACUAUGAAUCUCCGACUGUCUUAGCUUAUCAAUGAGGUCUAGUACAAUGAUCACAAGCUAAAAUUGCUGUACUAAUGAAGACAAAGGUCCAAAAAAUUAGUGCAGGCCCCCUAACAGAGGGCAGUACCUGGUGGACAAUAAUGCAGAAAUCAGGAUAUAAAUCACUCUUUAGAGACAAUAAAACCUAUAAUGCACAAAUUGAGUUGUUUACAUGUCCAUUGAAGGCACUGUUAAAAACAGAAGGUGGCAGCUGCCAUAUCUCUUCUUAUUCAUCUGGAAUGCGGUUGCCCCAAAUUCAGCUUCUUUAUUAGAAAGCAAGGCAUCUGUUUCCCAUUCUCUUCUUCCAACUCCAGAUACACAGCACUACUUUGCCAACACACAAUUUAGUAGUCUUGUGCCAUCCCGACCUGAAAUAAUUGUUGGACAUUCACUCUGGCUUCAAACUUUUGCUUACAAUUGUUUGCUAGGUAGAUAAAUUGGUCUUAUCAGAAUGUACUAAAACAUGAACAGCUGUGGUUUUCUCCUUUGAUGGUUCAGGUGCAGGGAGAAACAGUGGAAAGGAAAAAAUCCCCUCCUUUUUCUAUAGUGAUUGUGGUUAUUCUGAAAUAAAUAAAACAUAAUUUAAUUUCAUCAAGCCCAACUACAGGAGAUUGCCUUAUUGAAGAGAAGAUCAUACAAACAUACAAAAAGAAUCUGGUCUUCAAAAAAGAAAACACUGUGCUGAAAAGGACCAGGAAGAACCUAUAACAUCUACCCAAAACAUGUCUCAAGCAUAUCAAUUUUCUUUCAGUCUGUACUUUAUUUCACACAAUUCACAGCAUCCCAUUCUGAAAAUUCAUGUAUUAUUUGGCUAUGUGGAUAUUCUUAAUUGAGAAUACAAGUCCGUUCCACAUAUAUUUUCUUUUUUGUUGCUGCUAAAAAAGAUAUUUUUAAAAAGCAAACCACUGUAAUUUAACAAGAGCCAACUCAUGGCAGCUAUGCAAAGCCUUUAGAAUUCUUGCUAAAGACAGUAAGACACAAGUAGCCAGUUUCAUUUUGGACGCAGGGUGGGGAACAUCACACACUGAGGCCUGUCAUGGGGUGGGGGAAGGGGGAGGGAUAGCAUUAGGAGAUAUACCUAAUGCAAAUGACGAGUUAACUGGUACAGCACACCAGCAUGGCACAUGUAUACACAUGUAACAAACCUGCACAUUGUGCACACGUACCCUAGAACUUAAAUUAAAAAAAAAAAAAAAGACAAUGAGGCUGGUUGUGGUGGCUCACACCUAUAAUCCCAACACUUUGGGAGGCCGAGGUGGGAGGAUCACCUGAGGUCAGCAGUUCAAGACAAGCCUGACCAACAUGGUAAAGCCCCGUCUCUACUAAAAACACAAAAAUUAGCUGGGCAUGGUGGCAUGCACCUGUAGUCCCAGCUACUCGGGAGGCUGAGGCAGGAGAAUCGCUUGAACCCAGGAGGCGGAGGUUGCAGUGAGCCGAGAUCACACCAUUGCAUUCCAGCCUGGGCAACAAGAGCCAAACUCCAUCUCAGAAAGAAAAAAAAAGACAAUGAAUAACUUGGUUAGCUUUAAUUCAUAAAUUAUACCACAACUAGAGCAAGUUUCAAUUACACUUGCCAUGUACAGUAACACAUUUCCUUUUAAUGCUAUUUAUUUAUUCAUUUUUGAGAUGGAGUCUCGCUCUGUCACCCAGGCCGGAGUGCGGCGGCACGAUCUUGGCUCAGUGCAACCUCUGCCUCUGGAAUUCAAGCAAUUCUUCUGCCUCAGCCUCCCGAGUAGCUGGGACUACAGGCGUACACAGCCACACCUGGCUAAUUUUUUGUAUUUUAGUAAAGUCAGGGUUUCACCAUGUUGUCCAGGCUGGUCUCGAACUCCUGAGCUCAGGCAAUCCGCCUGCCUCGGCCUCCCAAAGUGCUAGGAUUACAGGCAUGAGCCACCACGCCCGGCCUAUUUUAUUUUUUUGAGACAGAGUCUCACUCUGUCGCCUGGGCUGGAGUGCAGUGUUGCAAUCUCGGCUCACUGCAACCUCUGCCUCCAGGGUUCAAGCAGUUCUCCUCUCAGCCUCUGGAGUAGCUGGGAUUAUAGGGUUCCCCACCCUAAUUUUUGUAUUUUUAGUAGAGACGGGGUUUCACCAUGUUGGCCAGCCUAGUCUGGAACUCCUGACCUCAGGUAAUGUGCCCGCCUCAGUUUCCCAAAGUACUAGGAUUAUGGGUGUGAGCCACCGCACCCAGCCCCUUUUAAUACUUUUAGAUGCAUGUAUCUGACUUUAAGGUCUGAAUUCCUAUGGUCUAUAUACUGAAAGAGAAAAUACUCUUACAUUAUUUUGCAUGUUGUAUGUAUGUACAUGUGAGUGUGUCCAGGCUCCACUAGACACAGAUGUCAAAAAAGCAGCAACUUUAUCCAGACCAUUUCUAACUUAAUGCCAGUUAUAACACUAAAUGAGUCAGAAAUCGGAUAAUGAAUAAAAAUCAACAUAAAAACAAAAAAUAUUUUUAAAUACCUCAUUCUACAGAUAUUUAUGGGAGCAGGGAGUGAGGGGUAUUGGGAUCUUCAACAAUGGGAACUCAUUAAACGAACACAAAAUAUUUUAUGUACAAGUUAGAAACCUUAUCCAAAUCAUGGAUUCAUGUGAAUGAGGGAUGAGCUCCUGUACUGUAAUCCCCCUGAACACCUGUGUUGUGAGGUCAUCUCCAGUUCAAUUCAUUCAUGAUGAGAGCUUUUCCUAUGUCAGGCAUUGAGAGUACAAAACACAUGAAUCCCCCCCACCCUCAAUGUGCUCAGUUUCCCUAUUCUUAUGUCUUGAGCUAGUCCUUCUCACUUUCUAGCUCCAAUUCCUGGAUUUGUAAGAGUUUCAAGAGAAGCAGCACACCAACCAUUGAUGCUGAGAAAGUCAGAUCUAUCAGUUAUAUGAAUCCACUCAACAUACCUGUAACAGGCACAGGUUUUGUUUUUAUUUCCUGUUAUUCUGUUUGAGGACAGCAAAAGUGAGAAAGUAAAAAUUAAGGAACAUGGCCUAUCUUCAGUGUUAGGUCAAAUGAGGGAGGUAGACAGAACAAAUAACAAGAGGUCAGGAGACUACAAGUUACAUAAAGUAUAUAAAGUGCAAUCAACAAAAAAGCAAGUAACUGCUUAGAAAAGUUGAGGAUGAUGUCACUCAAAAGAUUACAGAUAAUGCUGGGUCUUGAAGAAGUGAGAGUUUAAAAAGAAUAGAUCAUAUGAGAGUGCAUGGCAUCUCUCAGAUGUAUGAAAUACUUAUCUAUGGCCGGAGUAUAAAGGAGAGUACUGGGAAAUAGGCUGAAAAGGUGAUUUUUGAUUCUGAAGGGCUUCCUUGCAAGUUGCCUACGGAAUUGCAAUAUACAAGUGAGUCGCAGAAUAUUUUUAAAGAUGUGUGUUUUAGAAAGCUCCAAGAGCAAUGUGGACAAUGGAUCAAAAAAAGACAGAGGAACCAAUUGGAGUUUGCCUAAAUUGUGAAGAACAAGUUAUCUGGCCCUUUCCCUACUCAAUAGUUCAAACAAUUUAAGAUUUGCAAAAUUCCCCACACUACAAAAAUCUGCACUAAGUAUAUUUCCCAUUCUGUGUGGUCUGUUUGUGCAUACUACCUAUUCAACAGAUAUUGUCUUCCAUGUGUUGAACACUGGGAAUAAAAUGAUGAGCAACAACAGAUAUGGUCCUGCCUUCAAGAAGUUCAUAGUUUGAUAUGGGAGAUAACAUUAGAAGGAAUUUCAAGGAAGGGUGUUGAAUAGAGUGUCUGGUAAGUCUUAGGUUAAGACUGCCCUGAAGAAGUAACAAUUAUCAGAAAAAUAUGAGGAACCAAAAAGAGCAUUAAUCUAUUUUUUACAUCUACCAAAGGAGAGGAUUCAUAGGUAGUAAAAAGAGCAUGGACUUAAAGAUCCUAGGUUCAGAUUCCAUUUUCAAUGCCCAUAAACUAGUCUUGGGGAAUGAAUUUAAUCUGUUUGAUAGGAUUCUAUCUCCUCACACGGUUGUUGUGAGAACUGUGUGAAAGUACUUAGCACAUAGUGCCUGACCGAGAGAAGGUAUUCAAACAAUGUACAUUUAAUUUCCCACUUUCUUCACCCUUCAAAAUAUUUAUUUUCAUGAAAAUAAAUGAUUUUUCCCAGUUGUCCUAAAUCAAGUGCCAGGGAUCUGGUAAAAGUCUUUGGCAGCUGAAAAUCUGGCCUGUUCUCACAGAAUCCUGGACUGAAAACUUAAAAGUCUAAUUUACGAGGGAGACUUUUGAGAACAUUUUUUAAUCUUUCCAGAGUACUUCCAACUUCCAUUAAUUCUGCUGCCAAACAAAAAGGAAGGUAGAAAUACUUAAAAAAAAUAGAGAAAAUGCAUAAAGCAGAAAAUCUAGGUUUUAAAAAGCAUCAAAUAAUAUAGAACUAUAUAACUGGAUGGUGUUUCCUUCUCCUAAAGUCCAUUAAUAGUAUGAAUUAAACCAGGUAUGAUAGAAGCUCUGGAGGACCAAGAAUGGAAAAUUAAGUGGAAUCCAAGUUUCAUACACAGGCAAACUGAUAAAGGGCAAUUGGGGCAAGAUACCUACUACCCAAUAAAUUUAGUAAUUUUU